AUCACAUCCAGAAAAGUAUUAUCCUUUUGCAAGGAGAAUUUAAGCAGUGUAUGUUGGUAUUAACACACAUAGACUGCUAAUCUUCUUCUAUUGAAGGGAUAAUCGGAGCAACAAGUAGGUAU
rnacentral:precursor_RNA from 15 species